rnacentral:rRNA from 1 species
GAUGAACGCUGGCGGCGUGCCUAAUACAUGCAAGUCGAGCGAACAGAUGAGGAGCUUGCUCCUCUGACGUUAGCGGCGGACGGGUGAGUAACACGUGGAUAACCUACCUAUAAGACUGGGAUAACUUCGGGAAACCGGAGCUAAUCCCGGAUAAUAUCUUGAACCGCAUGGUUCAAUAGUGAAAUACGGUUUUGCUGUCACUUAUAGAUGGAUCCGCGCCGCAUUAGCUAGUUGGUAAGGUAACGGCUUACCAAGGCAACGAUGCGUAGCCGACCUGAGGGGGGGAUCGGCCACACUGGAACUGAGACACGGUCCAGACUCCUACGGGAGGCAGCAGUAGGGAAUCGUCCGCAAUGGGCGAAAACCUGACGGAGCAACGCCGCGUGAGUGAUGAAGGUCUUCGGAUCGUAAAACUCUGUUAUUAGGGAAGAACAAAUGUGUAAGUAACUAUGCACGUCUUGACGGUACCUAAUCAGAAAGCCACGGCUAACUACGUG